UACGUGUGGUCCGAGCGUUGUCCGGAAUGACUGGGCGUAAAGGGUGCGUAGGUGGGCACAUAAGUCAGGUGUGAAAUCCCCGGGCUCAACCUGGGAAGUGCGCUUGAAACUAUGUGUCUCGAGGCUGUCAGGGGUAAGCGGAAUUCCCGGAGUAGCGGUGAAAUGCGUAGAUAUCGGGAAGAACACCGGUGGCGAAGGCGGCUUACUGGGACAGAACUGACACUGAGGCACGAAGGCGUGGGGAGCAAACAGGAUUAGAUACCCUGGUAGUCCACGCGGUAAACGAUGGAUACUGGAUGUCGGUCAUAUUUACAUGGUCGGUGUCGCAGCUAACGCGCUAAGUAUCCCGCCUGGGGAGUACGGUCGCAAGAUUAAA
rnacentral:rRNA from 1 species